UACAGAGGGUGCGAGCGUUAAUCGGAAUUACUGGGCGUAAAGCGUGCGUAGACGGUUAUGUAAGUCGGGUGUGAAAGCCCCGGGCUCAACCUGGGAAUUGCAUUCGAGACUGCGUAGCUAGGGUGCGGAAGAGGGAAGCGGAAUUUCCGGUGUAGCGGUGAAAUGCGUAGAUAUCGGAAGGAACAUCAGUGGCGAAAGCGGCUUCCUGGUCCAGCACCGACGUUCAGGCACGAAAGCGUGGGGAGCAAACAGG
rnacentral:rRNA from 1 species